rnacentral:rRNA from 1 species
UGGGGAAUUUUGGACGAAUUGGGCGAAAGCCUGAUCCAGCAAUGCCGCGUGUGUGAAGAAGGCCUUCGGGUUGUAAAGCAUCUUUUGUCCGGAAAGAAAUCCUUGGCUCUAAUACAGUCGGGGGAUGACGGUACCGGAAGAAUAAGCACCGGCUAACUACGUGCCAGCAGCCGCGGUAAUACGUAGGGUGCAAGCGUUAAUCGGAAUUACUGGGCGUAAAGCGUGCGCAGGCGGUUUGCUAAGACCGAUGUGAAAUCCCCGGGCUCAACCUGGGAACUGCAUUGGUGACUGGCAGGCUAGAGUAUGGCAGAGGGGGGUAGAAUUCCACGUGUAGCAGUGAAAUGCGUAGAGAUGUGGAGGAAUACCGAUGGCGAAGGCAGCCCCCUGGGCAAGUACUGACGCUCAUGCACGAAAAGCGU